UCAUUAUCGAAUUUUGAUUUCGAGGAGAAAGGGCAUCGAUUGUCGCUGGCUGGCUUUUCAGCAUGUGCACAUCUAUGCUUUCUCACCUCGUCUCAUAUCCCACACACCUGUGCACCUAUUGUAGGUCCUCGAAAGAGGAUCUAUGUUUUUUCUACAUCACACAUGUCGUAUGUCUAGAAUGUAUUUGAUAACUUGUCGAUCAGGCUUGAUUGUCCUGGUCCCCAAGGUUCAAUAAAACCACUAUACAACUUUCAGCAAUGGAUCUCUUGGCUCUCGCAUCGAUGAAGAACGCAGCGAAUUGCGAUAAGUAAUGUGAAUUGCAGAUUUCCAGUGAAUCAUCGAAUCUUUGAACGCACCUUGCGCUCCUUGGUAUUCCGAGGAGCAUGCCUGUUUGAGUGUCAUUGAAUUUCUCAACCAUGCCUUUUGUGCAUGGCUUGGACUUGGGGGUUUGCUGGCAGCCAUCAGCUCUCCUGAAAUGCAUUAGCAAAGGAUGUGCUAGUCUCUGGACGUGCACGGCCUUCGACGUGAUAAUGAUCGUCGUGGCUGGAGCGUCCUCUUUCAGGGGACCAUGCAUAUGAAUUUGCUUCUAAUACAGCAGCUAGUUACUAGUCGGUCAUGAGCCUGGCGAACACAGCUGAGAACUUUUCGAACCGUUGACCUCAAAUCAGGUAGGACUACCCGCUGAACUUAAGCAUAUCAAUAAGCGGAGGAAAAGAAACUAACAAGGAUUCCCCUAGUAACUGCGAGUGAAGCGGGAUGAGCUCAAAUUUUGAAUCUGGCGGUC
rnacentral:rRNA from 1 species